UGGCGAGUGGCCAAACGGUAAGGCACCUGACUCUGGAUCAGGGGAUUCGAGGUUCCAGAUCCCGGCUCGCCAGCCA
rnacentral:tRNA from 1 species